GUGUUGGUUUAUUUGCUUUAGGAUAAAGAGUUCUAUUGUUGGCCAAUCAGAGAGUCUCUCAAGACCAUGCUUUCUUGGGGGUGGAGUAUCAACAGAAUACGAGAGAGUGACCCUGCCAGCAAAUCUAGGAGGAUAUCGCUUGCCAGCCAGCUGUCCUUCGAAGGAGCUCAGUCUUUCAAUCCGAGACCCAUUGAUAUGAGCAAUGUUACUCUGUCCAGAGACACACAGUCAAUGGCGGAACUGCUUGCAGAGAACUAUCACAACAUCUGGGCCAGGA